GAUGAACGCUGGCGGCGUGCCUAAUACAUGCAAGUCGAGCGAACAGACGAGGAGCUUGCUCCUUUGACGUUAGCGGCGGACGGGUGAGUAACACGUAGGUAACCUACCUAUAAGACUGGGAUAACUUCGGGAAACCGGAGCUAAUACCGGAUAAUAUUUCGAACCGCAUGGUUCGAUAGUGAAAGAUGGCUUUGCUAUCACUUAUAGAUGGACUUGCGCCGUAUUAGCUAGUUGGUAAGGUAACGGCUUACCAAGGCAACGAUACGUAGCCGACCUGAGAGGGUGAUCGGCCACACUGGAACUGAGACACGGUCCAGACUCCUACGGGAGGCAGCAGUAGGGAAUCUUCCGCAAUGGGCGAAAGCCUGACGGAGCAACGCCGCGUGAGUGAUGAAGGUCUUCGGAUCGUAAAACUCUGUUAUUAGGGAAGAACAAACGUGUAAGUAACUGUGCACGUCUUGACGGUACCUAAUCAGAAAGCCACGGCUAACUACGUGCCAGCAGCCGCCGUAAAAC
rnacentral:rRNA from 1 species